rnacentral:rRNA from 1 species
UACGUAGGGUGCGAGCGUUUGUCCGGAAUUAUUGGGCGUAAAGGGCUCGUAGGCGGUCUGUCGCGUCGGUAGUGAAAACUCAGGGCUUAACCCUGAGCCUGCUUCCGAUACGGGCAGACUAGAGGUAUGCAGGGGAGAAUGGAAUUCCUGGUGUAGCGGUGAAAUGCGCAGAUAUCAGGAGGAACACCGGUGGCGAAGGCGGUUCUCUGGGCAUUACCUGACGCUGAGGAGCGAAAGUGUGGGGAGCGAACAGG